GAUGAACGCUGGCGGCGUGCCUAAUACAUGCAAGUCGAGCGAACAGAUGAGGAGCUUGCUCCUCUGACGUUAGCGGCGGACGGGUGAGUAACACGUGGAUAACCUACCUAUAAGACUGGGAUAACUUCGGGAAACCGGAGCUAAUACCGGAUAAUAUAUUGAACCGCAUGGUUCAAUAGUGAAAGACGGUUUUGCUGUCACUUAUAGAUGGAUCCGCGCCGCAUUAGCUAGUUGGUAAAGUAACGGCUUACCAAGGCAACGAUGCGUAGCCGACCUGAGAGGGUGAUCUGCCACACUGGAACUGAGACACGGUCCAGACUCCUACGGGAGGCAGCAGUAGGGAAUCUUCCGCAAUGGGCGAAAGCCUGACGGAGCAACGCCGCGUGAGUGAUGAAGGUCUUCGGAUCGUAAAACUCUGUUAUUAGGGAAGAACAAAUGUGUAAGUAACUAUGCACGUCUUGACGGUACCUAAUCAGAAAGCCACGGCUAACUACGUG
rnacentral:rRNA from 1 species